GGAGAGUAGAUAGUGUUUCAGGCUGGGACUCUGUGAGGAUAAGGCCCUGAGCAUUACAGCUGGAGCUCAUAUUCAGCUGGUUAUCGACCAUGGUCUGCAAGUCCUUCUCAAAGUCAUGGCUUUCCAGCAUAUAGUCCCCCAUUCUGAGCAGUCCUUGUGCUCUAAGGAAUCAACUGGGGCCAAGCAAUGUCUGUCUCCCACUGGACUGUGGGUGGGUCUUGCAUGUGUAUGCAAGUAUCAUAAGG